UACGAAGGGGGCUAGCGUUGUUCGGAAUCACUGGGCGUAAAGGGCGCGUAGGCGGCUUUAUAAGUCGGGGGUGAAAGCCUGUGGCUCAACCACAGAAUUGCCUUCGAUACUGUAGAGCUUGAGACCGGAAGAGGUUAGUGGAACUGCGAGUGUAGAGGUGAAAUUCGUAGAUAUUCGCAAGAACACCAGUGGCGAAGGCGGCUGACUGGUCCGGAUCUGACGCUGAGGCGCGAAAGCUAGGGGAGCAAACGGG
rnacentral:rRNA from 1 species